rnacentral:rRNA from 1 species
GACGAACGCUGGCGGCGUGCUUAACACAUGCAAGUCGAACGGAAAGGCCCUGCUUUUGUGGGGUGCUCGAGUGGCGAACGGGUGAGUAACACGUGAGUAACCUGCCCUUGACUUUGGGAUAACUUCAGGAAACUGGGGCUAAUACCGGAUAGGAGCUCCUGCUGCAUGGUGGGGGUUGGAAAGUUUCGGCGGUUGGGGAUGGACUCGCGGCUUAUCAGCUUGUUGGUGGGGUAGUGGCUUACCAAGGCUUUGACGGGUAGCCGGCCUGAGAGGGUGACCGGCCACAUUGGGACUGAGAUACGGCCCAGACUCCUACGGGAGGCAGCAGUGGGGAAUAUUGCACAAUGGGCGGAAGCCUGAUGCAGCAACGCCGCGUGCGGAUGACGGCCUUCGGGUUGUAAACCGCUUUCGCCUGUGACGAAGCGUGAGUGACGGUAAUGGGUAAAGAAGCACCGGCUAACUACGU